UGGGGAAUUUUGGACAAUGGGCGAAAGCCUGAUCCAGCAAUGCCGCGUGUGUGAAGAAGGCCUUCGGGUUGUAAAGCACUUUUGUCCGGAAAGAAAUCCUUGGCUCUAAUACAGUCGGGGGAUGACGGUACCGGAAGAAUAAGCACCGGCUAACUACGUGCCAGCAGCCGCGGUAAUACGUAGGGUGCAAGCGUUAAUCGGAAUUACUGGGCGUAAAGCGUGCGCAGGCGGUUUGCUAAGACCGAUGUGAAAUCCCCGGGCUCAACCUGGGAACUGCAUUGGUGACUGGCAGGCUAGAGUAUGGCAGAGGGGGGUAGAAUUCCACGUGUAGCAGUGAAAUGCGUAGAGAUGUGGAGGAAUACCGAUGGCGAAGGCAGCCCCCUGGGCCAAUACUGACGCUCAUGCACGAAAGCGUGGGGAGCAAACAGGAUUAGAUACCCUGGUAGUCCACGCCCUAAACGAUGUCAACUAGUUGUUGGGGACUUCAUUUCCUUAGUAACGUAGCUAACGCGUGAAGUUGACCGCCUGGGGAGUACGGUCGCAAGAUUAAAACUCAAAUGAA
rnacentral:rRNA from 1 species